GACGAACGCUGGCGGCGUGCUUAACACAUGCAAGUCGAACGGAAAGGCCCUGCUUUUGUGGGGUGCUCGAGUGGCGAACGGGUGAGUAACACGUGAGUAACCUGCCCUUGACUUUGGGAUAACUUCAGGAAACUGGGGCUAAUACCGGAUAGGAGCUCCUGCUGCAUGGUGGGUGUUGGAAAGUUUCGGCGGUUGGGGAUGGACUCGCGGCUUAUCAGCUUGUUGGUGGGGUAGUGGCUUACCAAGCCUUUGACGGGUAGCCGGCCUGGGAGGGUGACCGGCCACAUGGGGGCUGAGGUACGGCCCAGACUCGUACGGGAGGCAGCAGUGGGGAAUAUUGCACAAUAAGCCGAGGCCUGAUGCAGCAACGCCGCGUGCGGGAUAACGGCCUUCGGGUUGUAAACCGCUUUCGCCUGUGACGAAGCGUGAGUGACGGUAAUGGGUAAAGAAGCACCGGCUAACUACGUG
rnacentral:rRNA from 1 species